rnacentral:rRNA from 1 species
UACAGAGGUCUCAAGCGUUGUUCGGAUUCAUUGGGCGUAAAGGGUGCGUAGGCGGCGCGGUAAGUCGGGUGUGAAAUCUCGGAGCUUAACUCCGAAACUGCAUUCGAUACUGCCGUGCUUGAGGACUGGAGAGGAGACUGGAAUUUACGGUGUAGCGGAUGAAUGCGUAGAUAAUCGUAAGGAAGACCAGUGGCGAAGGCGGGUCUCUGGACAGUUCCUGACGUGAGGCACGAAGGUCAGGGGAGCAAACGGGG